GAGAUAACUCCUACGGGAGGCAGCAGUGGGGAAUCUUAGACAAUGGGCGCAAGCCUGAUCUAGCCAUGCCGCGUGAGCGAUGAAGGCCUUAGGGUUGUAAAGCUCUUUCAGUGGGGAUGAUAAUGACUGUACCCACAGAAGAAGCCCCGGCUAACUCCGUGCCAGCAGCCGCGGUAAUACGAAGGGGGCUAACGUUGCUCGGAAUCACUGGGCGUAAAGGGUGCGUAGGCGGGUCUUUAAGUCAGGGGUGAAAUCCUGGAGCUCAACUCCAGAACUGCCUUUGAUACUGAGGAUCUUGAGUUCGGGAGAGGUGAGUGGAACUGCGAGUGUAGAGGUGAAAUUCGUAGAUAUUCGCAAGAACACCAGUGGCGAAGGCGGCUCACUGGCCCGAUACUGACGCUGAGGCACGAAAGCGUGGGGAGCAAACAGGAUUAGAAACCCUAGUAGUCCUCCACU
rnacentral:rRNA from 1 species